rnacentral:lncRNA from 1 species
UAAGGUCUUGCAAACGAUAACUUAUAAAGGAAACAACUCCACUUAUUCUAGGAAGGAAAUACCAGAAGAUAUGCAUAUCUGAUUCGAAUCAAACUAGGAGAUUACUCCCUUAUAUAGUCCUGCAAAUAAGGAGGGACUCGGGUUGCUCUCUUGGGCCUUCUUUCUCUAAGUCGGUAGAUACACCCGUAUCACUAAGAUUUGUUCCGGUGACGUUGGCCAUUAAGAAAAUCCUGGGAGUUGUGAUGAGCAAUUUUCUGAGCUUUUGGAAGUACCGGUCGAGUAUUUGAAAGCAGUUAAAUGGAGGUUGGUUGUUGAAUCAGAAGAAAAUAAAUUUGUGCAGGGCACGGAAAGAGAGUUUGAAUCCCGAGGGCCACAUCGAGCCGCUGUUCCAGACCAUCAGAAUGUUGAGCAACCAGUCCAGAGAGAGAUUCAAAAGAAUGUUCAAACAGAUGAUGGAGGCCGAUGGGACAGGACUCAUCCUGAUCGUAAGCACUUAUUACAUAUUUUAGUUUUUAUAUAUGCAAUGACAUGUUUUGAUCGUAAGCACUAAUUCAUGUUUUUAUAUUGCAGACGUCGAUUUAAACUUUGAGACCUGAAGAGGAUCUGUGGUCUGUGGACAACCUGUCAACCUACAUAUAAUCAAAUCCUUCUGAACAACAACAGUGAUAUGAUAUGGUAAUCAGAGUAUAAGACUAUACCUUCUCCUAAACCUAAGUAGUAGGUUGCUAUCUGUACAUCUUAGUGUCCAAAAUCUCGCAGAAAUGCAGUGUUAAAAUUAGAUCCAAGUAGAUACCCAUAACUCCCCUACGUGUAUGGUAGUGUCGAAUCCGGGUUGUGGAAGGAAAUUGUUGGGAAGUUGUGUUAGCAAGCAAUGAAAGAAUGUAGGUUUGUUGGGAAAUUGAUCGAUCUUGCACUUUUAUUUGAACCAUUUACUUCUGUUUGCGUUUAUCAAAUUUGAUUCUGGAUCACAGUUGCUCAUAGGCUUUCAACAAUAAUAAUCUCAGAUAUCAUUAUUGUCAUGGACAAAGGUGAGAUUGUGGAGAUGGGUUCCCACUCAAUCCUAGUAACAGCCUCUGAAGGAGUUUAACCCUAAACCGCGGAAGAGGCUGAACCCCACAUCCCCACCAUCGGACCUGGUGCCCCCAUCCCCAGCCAAGAAGUCGAGGCCGAACAGCCCGGAGAAAGAUGAUUCUCAGAUGUCAGAUGCUGUUUUAGCCGCAGUAAAAGAUGGUUCUGGGAUCUCAGAUGCUCUUUUAGCCGAACUAGGCUGCACUCGCGAAUAUCUAUUGCUCACUUCACGAGAACGGGCCGAGAUGACGAUUAAGGCCAUAUUGGCAAGGGAGGAGGCUCGUGGGGAAGUAACUGUAAGGUCAGGCUCACCACCACCCUAUCGUCCAGAAACUUUACCUAUGAAGGUAUAAGGAUAGUUGGUAAUCCUUUUAUCCUGUUUUUCACAGAGGUUAGCAGCUUCGCUUGCUAUCCUAUUACUAAGUUUUUUGCUGUCCUGAGUUUCAAAGUCUGUUAUAUUAGUUUAAUAGGUAUUUUUUAAAUUCAAAUGGACAACUGAGUUUGUGGGAAGUGCCUUGGUGCUCAAACCAGUCUAAGGGUUGAGAUCUUUUGUUAUGCCAACCCGUGACCAAAUGGUUUGAUGCUCAAGGCUCCAGCUUAGAUUUUAUGAUACAUUAUCCAAUACAAAGCUGGUCCCUGUGUGAUUCAAAGACCAGUCGCUAUUGGCUGUGUCAAGGUCUACUAAUGGACUGAGUAAGAGGGUUUGAAACCUCUUUGCUCCCUGUUUUGAAUCGUUCAUGUUUUAGGAAAGGGUUCUUUGUCUUAUUGAGAUUGCUUGUGUCAUCUUUGUGUUUGGACACAUCCCUUUCAGUAUGGGAGCCAAACACUUAUGUCUAAACCUUUCUGAAACAUGUUGAGGUCAGCUUGGAUCAACUUUGAUGCCUUGUCUGCCUAUAUAUAUCUAUAGCUUUGGCUUUGCUCAAUGGUUGUUGAAAACUGCCUUAUUGCGUUUUAUUUGUUGAGUCUAGUUUUAGCUUGCAUUGUUUAUGUUGUUCUAAGUCUUCUUUAUGACUGUAAACUUUAGAGCUUGAACUCAAAACUUCUUUCAUCAACUCAUAUCAUGUUGCAUACCAUGAGGGAUGUGUAGUGCAACCAACCCAAGAAGCAUUCAAGGUUGAAUCAGCUAGUGGUUAGUUGAAUUCACGAACAAGGCUUCUGAAAGUGUUCCAUGUUGUAAGAGCUUAGAAACAAGAGAGGGAAUAGGUCUAGACUAGUUCGGGACUAGGAAGGAUAACAUUGUGGUAGUGUAUCACUAGAACUAUUAUUCUUGUAAGAAGUUACUUCAACUUAGUGGAAAUUUUUGUCUCUCAAGAAUUAGAGAUACACAGUUUUUCUCUCUGCAUUCAGGGUUUCUGCGAGUAAAAUUCAUCCUUGUGUUGUUUCUUUAUUUGCUGCAAUUUACUUUUUGCAAACUCGUAUCCUGUGAAUCUGAGAUAGCACAAGUGAUUGCUAUCCUCAGAUACAGAAGUAAACGAAAAUUCGAAAAAAGGCCUAUUCAUCCCCCCCCUAGGGCCUUUAACCUAAGAGAUAUGCAUGGGGUUCUUACAUCGGUUGGAGUGGAAAGAAAGAUUUUGCUUAUCUGAUGACUUGCGGUAAUUGUGGCCAGGAUGGUCUUCACAAGACUCUUGACUGCCCAGAUAAGGAUACUGAAGAGGCCAAGGAGUUCAGGAGGCUGAGCACUUCCAGACUCAGAGGCCUCUAGCUCUUCUAAUCAUGAGACAAAGCCCGAGAACAAGUAAUGUACUGUGUGUAUGAGUCAUGUUUUAACGUUGUAAUCUACUUAUUUCCCUAUAUUUAUGAAUACCGUAUGUGAUGUUAUCUAUCCUAUGAUCGACCAAAGUUGAACUUCUGGAUAUUGGCAACUUAUUAGUUACAGUCUUGUGCUUGUGAACUAGGCUAAAAACCUAUGUUUUUUUUUUAAACUCGUGAGAGCAUUCUGGAUCCAUCUAAUGUAAUAUGUGUUGUGACAUGUAUUAUAUUACCUUCUUAAGUGAAAAAAAAAAAAAAAUAAUUGAUCAAGACGGUAGAUAGUGCUUUGUUUCGUGAACUCUAGAGGACCCUGUUUAACAUUAAGACUAAUGUCAGUGGCUAUGCUGUUGUUAGAUUUGAAAUCAGUGCAUAGUAAAAGAGAAUAACUAUGAUGGCGGUUCUUCUCUUGUAUACUGAAUUUGAAACUGAGAACAAGUUUAUUCUGGUACAUACUCAGGGUGAUUCUUGUUGGUUUUACUGGGACCUAUGGUGAUUGAUUGGAAAUGACAACGGUUUAUCGAGGAACCGAGACCUCUAAUAACACAAGGUUAUUAAAUAGAAUUCUUGAUGAUCUUUAUUGAAUGAAUUCCCUCAUCUUAAAUAGAUGGGUGUACAACUGACUUUCCAAAUAACAAGGACACUGCCCACCUAAACUACCACUAAGGAUAAGGCUAAUCCCAUUAUCCUUGUACUUAGGAAACAACAAAACAAACUCAACGUUAACUAAGAACAAUAAACAUUGACCAGUUCAUAACAUAUUCAUUUAUCAGUAUAUAGGAAAUUAUUUUGCAACUUCCAUACUAUUACAUCAAGUAUAUACGCCGGCCUAAGGCUGUUCUAAGUUCCCUUGGUAUGAAAUAUGUUACUCUUCUGUCAUGCUUUGUAUCUGAUAUAAUCUUGAAUAAACUCCCUGAGAGGCUGUUAUAAGGGUUGAGUGGGAACCCGACUCGACAAUCUCACCUUUGUCCAUGACAAUGAUGAUAUCUGAGUUUAUUUAUUAUUGUAGCCUAUGUGCAACUGUAAUCUGUUUGGUUUUGGACAGCAGGCCUCCUUUGUUUUUCAAAUUUAUCGCUUCCAAUGCGCUCACCACAGAUUUUUCGGAUUCAGCAUCAAGGGCACUUGCUGCUUCAUCCAGAAGCAAGAUUGCAGGCCUCUUUAGCAAUGUUCUAGCUAUGGCUAUUCUUUGCUUUUGUCCUCCUGAAAGUUGGCAUCCCUUCUCCCCAACAAGUGUUUGAUAUCCAUCAGGAAAUUACUUAUGAACUCAUCAAUGUUUGCUUCCCUUGAUACCUCUACAAUCUCAGUUUCAGAAGCACUUUCAUUCCCAUAGCAGAUAUUCUCUGAUUGAGGAGCUAAAAAGUAGAGGCUCUUAUUGCACCAACCCUAUUUGUGUUGUCAGCCAUCUCAAGUUGUACUCCCUUAUCUCCUUUCCAUCAAUGAGUAUCUUACCUUUCAAGGGAUCAUAAAAUCUUAGCAGCAGGGCCAGAACUGAAGAUUUACCAGCUCCACUUGGACCGACAAGAGCCACCUUUGUUCCAGCUUUAAUUUGGACAGUGAAGUUGUUCAGGAUAGUUACUCCUGGUCUCAAAGGGUAAUUAAACUCAACAUUUUGAAAUUCAAUAUUCCCUUUGAUUCUCUCCUGAUUUGAAGUUUCCGGUGUACAUGGAUCUAUUUCAGUUUUGCGGUCAAGGGUCUCGAAUGCAGGAGUAAGCACAUUGAUGGCAGAAAUGACGGUGGGAAUCAAUGUCCACAAUUCUGUGACUGAAGGUACUGUGAGAGAGAAAAUCUGGUAUGAUCUUAUGCCAUUUUUGAAGCUCGAUUGAUUCUUGUGAACUAAAACUGUUGUGUACCACAAUGCCACAGCAUGUGCAAUGUUCCAUAAGCAAAGAGAAACUCCCUGGAUUAUGCCAAACUUAAUACUUUGUCUCAUGCUCCUUUUCUUGGGGGUUUCUAGAGAUAUUUCGGCCUUUUUGAGUAUAUGAUCUUCAUGGAAAAACUGUUGGGGUAUCUCUGUAACUCACCUCCUCUGAUCCAAGCUUGCUGCACUCUUAUACAACUGCUCUUCACACUUCAAUCAGGUACGUUGCCUUGAUCUUGAUCUCCUGCACUCAAUCACACACACACCGCUAUAUAUUUGAUACAGAGAUGAUAGUAGAAUCAAAUAGAUACAAAGAGAAUUGAUGAAAUGGGCUGGAGCUGUUACUCUCAGUCCUCUUCUUUCAUAUAUUUUUCUGAUGUUGUUUUUUUGUAAUGCAAAGAUAGCAGAUCUGAUACUGUUAUAUCAGUUCACUGUAUAUGUCUUCUUAGACACACUACCUUGUGCACAAAAGUCAAAGAUUAACUAAAGUUUAUUUUAACUAGAGUUAACCAAACUAGCAUAAGGUUAAGAAAGUAACUAAGCAUUAACUUUAACAAAAACGAUGCAACGGUUCUUAUGUUUUGUGCAGACUCAGAAAAGCAAGAGAAACAAGUUCAUUAUGUGCAGCAGCUGAGUCUCCUGCAAAACCCUUUGCAGACUUGGCUUGAAUGAGACCACCAAUGAAGUGGCAAGGCAUCACAGCCCAAGCUACCAACCCCAUUCUCCAGUUGACAUACAUGCUCACAACGGUUGCAAUCAGUAUGGAGGAAAUGCACUGGACAAGGACAGACAUCCGGUCAGCAAUUACCACUUUGACCAUUGAAGUAUCAUUGAUGAUCGUUGAGGUGAGCUGUCCAAUGCCAUUCUCAGGUUAGUGAUUAUGUGAAAUUGAAUUGCAGGCAUGCGAAUAGUCACUUUGAGGUUGAAGAUGAGCAACUGGCUUUGGACUUGGAGUUUGCCCAGCAACUUGCUUUUGCACCUUAUUCUCCACCAUCCAUGCAUGGUACUUGUUAGUUUUGCUUUCUAAUUUAGUUUUCUUCUGUAUUGCUUGAUGUGUUCAUAGCUUAAGAAAAGAGUGAUGUGGUAAAGUUUUAUGCUUGUGGUGAUUAUUUGAAUUUUUGUGUUGAUAGAUUAGAUUCUCAUAUGUUAAUACACAAGUAUGAAUUGGGUCUUAGAAUGAUUGUAUUUGAUGUUUUGGGUUUUGUUUUUAAUGAGAAAGGAUGGAUUUUUCGUAGAUUUUGCGGAGGAACUUACAUGUUAAUCUUAUGUUGUUCUUUGAUAAUGGAGAUUGAAGUUUAGUCCAGUAACUUUGUAGUUUCAUAUGUAUAUAUGUGCAGAAUAAUCAAACAACUAGAGAGUUGCCAUUUGCGAGAUGUGAUGGACAAUGUAGCAUGGAGGAAAGUGUCUCCUGCCUGGUUGCUUUACAGACUAGGACCACUUUCCAUGAGAUUGAAGGUGGCGUGAUGGCACUGCUGAGAGAGUGUUUGGAGUUGGAACCUAGAAAUACGACUACUAUUUUGUGUGGUUAUACUGAUCAUGUUCAGAGCAUUCGAUCCAAGGAUUCUGGGUGGGGUUGUGGGUGGCGUAACAUUCAAAUGCUUAGCUCACAUUUGCUUAUGCAAAGGCAAGAGACUCGAGAUGUUUUGUUUGGUGGUGCAGGAUUUGUUCCUGAUAUCCCAUCACUCCAAACUUGAGAUUGCUUGGGAAAAGGGAUUUGAUGCAGCUGGGUCUGAUCAGUUUGCUAACAAAAUUUAUGGCUUGAGAAGAUGGAUUGGAACAACUGAAUGUGCUGCCCUUUUCCUUUCUUUUGGGCUGCGAGCAAGGAUAGUGGAUUUUGGUCCCAAGGAACUCGAACCAUAUUAUCUCUCUCUUCCUGGGUUCAAGGUCUUGGGGAAGAGGUCAAGAGAAUACAUAAUGGUGGAAAGAGGAAAGCAAUUCAGGUUUGUGGACCAAUGGAUAGAUAUUUGCCGGAAAGGAGUCAUGAUAUUAACCAAGCGAGUCCCAGUUGCCAUGAAAAGUCGAGUUGUUCUACUAGCCAGAAAGGUGACUCUUGGUGUAGGAAAAGUCAUUAUAAUUCCGGAAAUAAAUUUUUCAGGAAAAGCAAGGGUCAUCAGGUUCUCAUGGAUUGGAUCUGGAAUUACUUUAAUGAUGGUAACGUUACCAGAACCGGCAACCACCGGGUGAUUGUUAGUGACAAAACGUAAGUUUCUCUAUCCCACGAAUUUAUUGUUUGAACAUCAAAUGACAUUUAAAGGAUCACCUUUUAUGUUGUGUCCUAAUUCAUAGAGGUUCUUUGAGCAGACCCUUGUACUUCCAACAUGAUGGGCAUUCGAGAACCAUUGUUGGGAUUCAAGUCAAAAAUCAACAAAACGGGAUGCAGCAACACACUCUUAAUUUUGGACCCUGGUCAUGUAAUUCUCUGUCCUUUAUGAAAUCUGUGUGGCAUCUUACCUUUAGCAUUUAUGUUUUAAAUUUGAUUACUAAACAUCUUAAUCCCUUUCGACUUGUCUGCAACAUGAUUACAGAGAACAGCAGAGAUGGAAAGAUCACUCAAGGAAAAGAGAGGAUGGCAGAAGUUUGCUAUUGGAACAUAACAGUUUGCUUUGGUUGUAUUGUUUUUUUAGGAUCGGGACUGAUGCAAUGAUUUUGUUUCAGCUGUGUUAUAUUGAUCCUGGCAUUGCAAGUGGAGAUGAAGUGGAGUUGCUCAAGACUGUAGAUAGUGUUUUUCUUGAGCUCUAAAGGACCCUGUUCAACAUUAUGACUUCUAAGUGGCUAUGCUACUGUUUCAAAUGCAUAGUAAAAGAGAAUUUGGAUAUCUGAAGAAUGAAAGUUCACUGUUCUAAGGCUUCUUGCCCUCCCUUAAGGAGAAUGUUUAGAGAAGCUCGUGCAGAAGAUUGUGCGCUCUUCUUGACCAAUGAUCUUGACUGCUGAGGGUUAAACCAGUGGAAAUGCUUCACUGAAUCACUGAUCAAGGAUUUUGUAUGUGCAAGAGGAACAGAAAGUUGGGGAAUCACUCCUAUUCUAUUCUUCAACUUCUAUGAAGCUAUGAUCUUCUGUCAGCUCUUUAAUCCGGGGUGUCUUGGUUAAAUUAUGUGAGCUACCAUAAUUUACUUUGAUGCGAGUUUAUUCUCUUGCAUACUGUCUUUGUAACUGUGAACAACUUUGCUCAUUUAUCAAUAUAUCGAAAAUGCAUUGCUACUUCGUUCUUCUACCCAACAGUUUAUGCUGUCAUUAACCUUGUGCCACCUCUAUUUUGGUGACAAACUACUACCAUACUAAUACAUUCAAAACCCUUGGAGACAUAUGCCUGAGGCUGUUUAAAGUUCCCUUGCUGUUUGCACACUUCAAAGAUAACAGUAUGCGAUAUGUUACUUUUCUGUCAUGCUCUGUAUAUGAUAUAAUCUUGAAUAAACUCCCUCAGAGGCUGUUACUAGGAUUGUUGAAAGCCUAUGAGCAACUGUGAUCCAGAAUCAAAUUUGAUAAACGCAAACAAAAGUAAAUGGUUCAUCAUCGAAAUAAAAACACUCAUCAUCGAAAAAAAGAGUAAAUGGUUCAAAUAAAAGUGCAAGAUCGAUCAAUUUCCCAACAAACCUACAUUCUUUCAUUGCUUGCUAACACAACUUCCCAACAACUUGCUAGGAGGAAUAAGAAAAUAAAGUCAAAGCAUAAUCAAACAUUUGACUCUGCAAAUUAAGCAUUAGCUUUGUUCCUACAUAUUUCAUUUCAACAUUAGGAUAUUUUACUUUUUAUGUUUUCAUUAGGAUUUGUUUUAUUUAGAAUAAAGGAUUUCUAGUCCUAAUCAGGAUUUAGUUCCUAGUUAUAGUAUGAAUAGGUUUAUUUCUAUGCCUAUAUAAGGCACUUGCUAGAUUGUAUUUUCAUAUCAAUAAGAAAAUAUUAGGGUUACGCUUACGUAUCAUAAAGCCAGCCAUGAGCCUAAGCCCCAAAUCCUCGCCACCGGAACUGACACCCACAUCCUCAAGACCAUCCCCAGCCAAGAAGUCAAGGCCGAACAGCCCGGAGAAAGAUGAUUCUCAGAUGUCAGAUGCUGUUUUAGCCGCAGUGAAAGAUGAUUCUUGGAUCUCAGAUGCUCUUUUAGCCGAACUAGGCUGCACUCGCGAAUAUCUAUUGCUCACUUCAGAAGAACGGGACGAGAUGACGAUUAAGGCCAUGUUGGCAAGGGAGGAGGCUCGUGGGGAAGUAGUAAGGUCAGGCUUACCACCACCAUAUCGUCCAGAAACUUUACCUAAGGGAUAUGCAUGGGGUUCUUACAUCGCUUGGAGUGGAGAGAAAGAUUUUGCUUAUCUGAUGACUUGCGGUAACUGUGGCAAGGAUGGUUGUCACAUGACUCUUGACUGCCCAGAUGGGGAUACUGAAGAGGCUAAGGAGUUUAGGAGGCUGAUCGCUUCCAGCCUCAGAGGCCUCUAGCUCUUCUAAUCAUGAGAAAAGCCCGAGAACAAGUAAUGUGCUGUGUGUAUGAGUCGUGUUUUAACCGUCUAAUCUACUUGUUAUCUAUCCUAUGAUCGACCCAAGUCUUCUGGAUAUUGGGAACUUAGUAGUAUUGUGCUUGUGAACUAGGCUAAAAACCUAUGGUUGUUUCUAAGUCGUGGAAGUAUUAUGGCUCCAUCUAAUGUAAUAUGUGUUGUGGUAUGCAUUGUAUUACCUUGUUUAGUGAACUAGCUCUUUGAUCGACUCUUGGUGGAGUGUUUGAAAUUGCCAUAUUUUCUAUAGAAACCAGGCUCUGGCACCAAACAGAAACCGGGCUCUGGCACCAAACUGAUGGGAGAUUGUUUCGAACACAGGCCUCCGACACUACCUCUUUCCAGAAACAAGAAGAUCAAGAACAAACAAAUACUUGCAGCUAAAGUUACGUUUAUUUCAUAUCAUUCGAUAUCAUUCGAUGAAUAAUAAGGUCUUACAAACAAUAACUUAUAAAGGAAACAACUCCACUUAUUCUAGGAAGGAAAUACUAGAAGAUAUGCAUAUCUGAUUCGAAUCAAACUAGGAGAUUACUCCCUAAUAUAGUCCUGCAAAUAAGGAGGAGCUCGGGUUGCUCUCUUGGGCCUUGCUUUCUCUAAGUCGGGAGAUACACCCGUAUCAAUAAGAUUAGUUCCGGUGACGUUGGCCAUCAAGAAAAUCCUGGGAGUUGUGAUGAGCAAUUUUCUGAGCUUUUGGAAGUACCGGUCGAGUAUUUGAAAGCAGUUAAAUGGAGGUUGGUUGUUGAAUCAGAAGGAAAUAGUUUGAAAGCAGUUAAAUGGAGGUUGGUAUACGAAAUUUCAAACGACAAUAUGAGGAAGACAUUGC